GGCUGAGAGUGGUCCCACCCCAGCAGGCAGGAGGGUGGGGCGGGGCCCAGUGGGUGGUGGCCCCUCCCGGUUUCCUCCUCUGGCAGCUGAAGCCAGACUCAGUCCCCGCUGUGUGUAAGGCAGCAUGGGCAGCAAGAGAAGAGGUGCCAGAAGCCUGCGGGGCAGGGACGGGCCGGCCCCCACGCAGUGCGUCCAGGCCGAGUGCUUUGACCCUCUGGUUCGAAACUGCGUGGCCUGCAAGCUCUUCCGGACGUCAGAACCUAGACCGUAACCCCUGGACAAUGUCAUCGUCCUCCCCCCGGGACCCCUCGAUGCCACAGCUCCCGUCUGGCCUCCAACUGGAGAAGACCCAGCCAACACCCCACCUGCCCACAGCGUCCCUGUGCCAGCCACAGAGCUGGGCUCCACUGAGCUGGUGACCACCAAGACGGCUGGCCCCGAGCAACAGUAGCCUGGGAGGGGGCAGUGUCAGCCAGGGGCUUGGAGGCCGGAUCUGGCUCUUCACCCCGGUGCCCACCUGCCCCUUCUCUGGGAACCACGCUGCUCUCCAGUAACCCCGCAGAACCACAGACUACAGGCCACAGGGCUCAGACGGCGUGGCGUUCUAUGGCGUGUUAGCAUUUGGCUUAAAAUCAGACCAUCUUUGGCAGCCCUUGAAGGUUGUGGCUGAGCUCCUGUGCUUUUGAGCGGCUGGGGCACACCGCGUAGGGGGCUUUCCUUUAAGUGCAGGGAAGCCACCAUCAACCAGAAUGAAUCUAGGAAAAGGAUCAAGUGGGAGGAUGCUUAAUUUAUAGCUGGGUGUUGUAUUUCUUUAAUACUUGCUCUCAGAGCUGUCCUGCUUUUACCUGAUGCAAAUGGCAGCAAUGAGUAACCAACUGACUGGUUUGCUUCAGGAUUUAAUACAAGAUGAUUUUGAUUUUUACAAAGAGCCUGGAUUGUGCUAAUUCUCAGGUAUCUGUACCCUAGGGUCAACCCUGAGCUUGGCCCAAUCUUCUAGGACCUACGAUGCCAUUUUCGCCGUUGUAGCAGCUUCCAGAGCCCUGGGCUUGCACUUGGGAGGAAGGCUACAGCCCCUCUGGGGCUGGACUGCACACUCACGCUGACGGCACCCUGCCAAGCGUCUCUCUCAGAGGCCUCCUGGGGUCCCAGCUGCCUCCGAGGCACACUCAGCUGUACAUAGGGAAAGGCCCAGGACCUUCAAGGGGCUCCUUUGUUCAGAGGCCAGAGCAGUCUUGUGGCCUUGAACCAGCUGGACCUGAUGUCCCUUGAGCUCCCUCUCUCUAUGGCCUGACCUCCUGAAGCACUAGGCCCUGAGAGCUGUGGUCACUUGGCCAUUCUGUGCAAGCCCCUGGGGUCACCCAUCAUCCCAGUGGAAUCGCUCCUCUGACAGCAGGGCCCCUUGCUCUGGGGCUUGGGACCGAGACCAUCUCCUCGAGUUGUGGACCACGCCGUACUCAGUCAGGCGCUGCCUCUCCUGCCGACCCUCCUACACAGAGUUAGGAUAUCCAGACCCGGACUCUGUCCUGGACAGUCCUUGGAACUUGUCACAGGUUAGCACCUUCUGAAGGAACACGGACUAGGAGCCAGAAGAUGGAGUUUUGAGGACCAUCUUGUCCCACUGUAGGGCCUUGGCUGUGUUCUGUUCCAUGAAUGACAUGCCUUUCUGCCAACCUCUCCCUGACCUGCCUAGCAGAGCUGCCUGGCAGAUGCCCACCCCUCCUGCCCACCCUCUUCUCAGUCCAGAAGAUGGUCUGGAGCCCCCAGGACACUGACACCCACUUUUAAGUCUUCCUAGCCACUCCCUCCCUGAAUUCAUCCCAGGUGCCCCUUCCCGUAAACUGCCAGGUGGCUGGGGCGAGGUCAAGUGACUGGCAGUCGGCAGGAGGGUGGGCAGCAGGCCCAGAAUGGGCCCAGACCUCCACUCCACUUCAUCUCAGGACUGGGGAGUCUGUGCUGUUCCUGGCCACCUCUGACUCCCACUUACCUUUUCCACUGCAGCCAGGGGCUGGGCCCUGGAGGUAAAACAAGUGGAUUAAAAAAAAAAAAAAGUGGGACCCCUCUUGGGUCCAGACAUGCGAACCUCUGCACCACUGUGUCCCAGCCAAACCCCAGCUUCCCCUCUGGUCUCGGUUUCCAUUUCUGAAAAAUGGGGGGGGGGAGGUUGGAUGCAAAGUGCUUCUCUGGACCUGUGGCCCUCAGAGGAGGACUUGAAAGAACCUUAAAGGAUCCUUGUCUGCACCGCUCCAUUUUACAGAUAAGAAAAGUGAGACCCAGAGAGGGAUAAGACUUGCCAUCAUUGCCAUCCAGCAAAUAACAGAAGGGAGGUUCCUUGAGGAACAACCAGGAGCUGAGGGGGGGGGGAGACAUGGGCAAGGAGGGGUCUCCCCCAGCCCCCCGGGGAAAGCACCUCCCCACUCAAGGGCCUUCAGUCUCUGGCUCUGUGUCCCAGGAAGUGUUUUCUAAGAAGCCUUCAUGUUACUGCAUUUGAUCUUAAUGACAGCACCUGGAAGGGGGGGGGGGGAAGGGUUUUUUAUUUCCUCUGGGGCAGAGGGAGAGGGAGAAGCAGACUCCCCACUGAACAAGGAGCCCCGACACAGGGCUCCAUCCCAGGACCCUGAGAUCCUGAUCUAAGCCCAAGUCAGAUGCUUAACCAACUGAGCCGCCCAGGCGCCCCUUGUUUGCUUUUUAAAAAGUUUUUUUAUUAGAAAAAAAUCGAGACAUAGGGGCACCUGGGUGGCACAGCAGCUAAGCGUCUGCCUUCGGCUCAGGGCGUGAUCCCGGCGUUAUGGGAUCGAGCCCCACAUCAGGCUCCUCCGCUAUGAGCCUGCUUCCUCCUCUCCCACUCCCCCUGCUUGUAUUCCCUCUCUCGCUGGCUGUCUCUGUCAAAUAAAUAAAUAAAAUCUUUAAAAAAAGAAAAAAGA
ensembl:lncRNA TNF receptor superfamily member 13C